AAGAUGUAACGGGGCUAAGUCAAUAACCGAAGCCGCGGAUUCGCAGCAAUGCGAGUGGUAGGGGAGCGUUCUGUAAGCCUGCGAAGGCGGAUCUGCGAGGACCGCUGGAGGUAUCAGAAGUGCGAAUGCUGACAUGAGUAACGUUAAAGCGGGUGAAAAGCCCGCUCGCCGUAAGCCCAAGGUUUCCUGCUCUACGUUCAUCGGAGCAGGGUGAGUCGGCCCCUAAGGUCAGGCUGAGAAGCGUAGCUGAUGGGAAGCUGGUUAAUAUUCCUUGAGCACCGAUUUCAAGUGCGAAGGGGGGACGGAGUCCUGAAGGUCAUCCGGGUGUUGGAUAUCCCGGUUUACGAGCGUAGGAGGUUGACAGGCAAAUCCGUCAACGGAUCUCCAAGGCGAAGGAUCGAGGUUGAGAGAUCGAAGUGACUGAAUGGGCUUCCAGGAAAAGCCUCUAAGCAUCAGCUUGGAAUUGACCGUACCGCAAACCGACACUGGUGGGCGAGCUGAAUAUGCUCAGGCGCUUGAGAGAACUCAGGAGAAGGAACUCGGCAAAUUGACACCGUAACUUCGGGAUAAGGUGUGCCUUUGUAGUGUGAAGAGAGAAACACUCCGAGCAUGAAGAGGCCUCAGAGAAUCGGUGGCUGCAACUGUUUACUAAAAACACAGCACUCUGCAAAGAUGAAAGUCGACGUAUAGGGUGUGAUGCCUGCCCGGUGCUGGAAGAUUAAUUGAUGGGGUGCAAGCUCCUGAUCGAAGUCCCAGUAAACGGCGGCCGUAACUAUAACGGUCCUAAGGUAGCGAAAUUCCUUGUCGGGCAAGUUCCGACCUGCACGAAUGGCAUAACGAUGGCCACACUGUCUCCUCCUGAGACUCAGUGAAGUUGAAGUGUUUGUGAUGAUGCAAUCUCCCCGCGGCUAGACGGAAAGACCCCAUGAACCUUUACUGCAGCUUUGCAUUGGACUUUGAACCGAUCUGUGUAGGAUAGGUGGGAGGCAGUGAAGCUAGGACGCCAGUCUUAGCGGAGCCAACCUUGAAAUACCACCCUGAUUUGUUUGAGGUUCUAACCUAGGAGCGUAAUCCGCUUCGGGGACCGUGCAUGGUAGGCAGUUUGACUGGGGCGGUCUCCU
rnacentral:rRNA from 1 species